UACGUAGGGUGCAAGCGUUGUCCGGAAUUAUUGGGCGUAAAGAGCUCGUAGGCGGUUUGUCGCGUCUGCUGUGAAAUCCCGAGGCUCAACCUCGGGCCUGCAGUGGGUACGGGCAGACUAGAGUGCGGUAGGGGAGAUUGGAAUUCCUGGUGUAGCGGUGGAAUGCGCAGAUAUCAGGAGGAACACCGAUGGCGAAGGCAGAUCUCUGGGCCGUAACUGACGCUGAGGAGCGAAAGCGUGGGGAGCGAACAGG
rnacentral:rRNA from 1 species